CUGCAGGCCGCCGCCAGCGCCGCAUACGCUCUCGGGCCGGUGGCGGGCGGCGCGCUGGCAUGGUGCGCUGGCUUCGCUACAACGCUGCGUGCGCUCGGCCUCGCCAACUUACUGUACGCAGUGCUGUUGUACCGCGCGCUCGCCAAGCACCCGCUCUCCGUACAGUGGGGGGCUGGAACACCGACUGACGAUGACAGCGAAGAAGAAGGGGCCGAGCUUACUCCGCUACGCUAACUCCACCCCUUCCCUCCCCCCACACACAAAUAGAACGAGUUUUGAAUCAUUUUAAUUGCAAUAAAACAUAUCUGCAUAUAUGAUACCUUACAUUUG